rnacentral:lncRNA from 1 species
AAAGUCUCGGCCUUUGCCCCACCCCGAAGAGAAAGGCCUCUCACCUUGCAGUUGACCAGAAGAGCUGGAAUCUCUGUCCUGCUGGUCUUCCUCCUGCUCUCCUGGCCAUGAAUCAGGGCCUGCAUCCGGGGAGGCUCCCCCUGAAGCCAAUUCGGGUUUCCCUCCACCAGGCGUCUUUGGAUCACACUGCGCGGCUGCUGGCUCCAUCACAAAACAAUGAAGGAGGAAGUGGGACGCAGAGAGAAACGCACAUGGGGAGAACGCCGCGUGAAGGCUGAGGUCGGGAUAAUGCAUCUGCAAGCCAAGGAACACCUAAGAGGACCAGCAAACCACCAGAAGCCGGGGGAGAGGCGUGGAACAGACCCUGCCUUACAGCUGUCAGAAGGAACCAACCCUGCCAACACCUUCCUGUUGUACUUUCAGCUUCCAGAACUGUAAGAUGACAAAUCUCUAUUGUUUUAGCCACUCAAGCUUGUGAUACAUACUUUGUUAUGG